GACGAACGCUGGCGGCGUGCCUAAUACAUGCAAGUAGAACGCUGAAGAGAGGAGCUUGCUCUUCUUGGAUGAGUUGCGAACGGGUGAGUAACGCGUAUGUAACCUGCCUUGUAGCGGGGGAUAACUAUUGGAAACGAUAGCUAAUACCGCAUAACAAUGGAUGACACAUGUCAUUUAUUUGAAAGUGGCAAUUGUUCCACUACAAGAUGGACCUGCGUUGUAUUAGCUAGUAGGUGAGGUAAUGGCUCACCUAGGCGACGAUACAUAGCCGACCUGGGAGGGUGAUCGGCCAAACUGGGAAUGGGAAAAGGCCCAGACUCCUACGGGAGGCAGCAGCAGGGAAUCUUCGGCAAUGGGGGCAACCCUGACCGAGCAACGCCGCGUGAGUGAAGAAGGUUUUCGGAUCGUAAAGCUCUGUUGUAAGUCAAGAACGGGUGUGAGAGUGGAAAGUUCACACUGUGACGGUAGCUUACCAGAAAGGGACGGCUAACUACGUG
rnacentral:rRNA from 1 species